AGCCCCUAGCGCAGACGGCGGAGAGCAGAGAGGGAGCGCGCCUUGGCUCGCUGGCCUUGGCGGCGGCUCCUCAGGAGAGCUGGGGCGCCCACGAGAGGAUCCCUCACCCGGGUCUCUCCUCAGGGAUGACAUCAUCCGUCCACCUCCUUGUCUUCAAGGACCACCUCCUCUCCAUGCUGAGCUGCUGCCAAGGGGCCUGCUGCCCAUCUACACCUCACGAGGGCACUAGGAGCACGGUUUCCUGGAUCCCACCAACAUACAAAGCAGCCACUCACUGACCCCCAGGACCAGGAUGGCAAAGGAUGAAGAGGACCGGAACUGACCAGCCAGCUGUCCCUCUUACCUAAAGACUUAAACCAAUGCCCUAGUGAGGGGGCAUUGGGCAUUAAGCCCUGACCUUUGCUAUGCUCAUACUUUGACUCUAUGAGUACUUUCCUAUAAGUCUUUGCUUGUGUUCACCUGCUAGCAAACUGGAGUGUUUCCCUCCCCAAGGGGGUGUCAGUCUUUGUCGACUGACUCUGUCAUCACCCUUAUGAUGUCCUGAAUGGAAGGAUCCCUUUGGGAAAUUCUCAGGAGGGGGACCUGGGCCAAGGGCUUGGCCAGCAUCCUGCUGGCAACUCCAAGGCCCUGGGUGGGCUUCUGGAAUGAGCAUGCUACUGAAUCACCAAAGGCACGCCCGACCUCUCUGAAGAUCUUCCUAUCCUUUUCUGGGGGAAUGGGGUCGAUGAGAGCAACCUCCUAGGGUUGUUGUGAGAAUUAAAUGAGAUAAAAGAGGCCUCAGGCAGGAUCUGGCAUAGAGGAGGUGAUCAGCAAAUGUUUGUUGAAAAGGUUUGACAGGUCAGUCCCUUCCCACCCCUCUUGCUUGUCUUACUUGUCUUAUUUAUUCUCCAACAGCACUCCAGGCAGCCCUUGUCCACGGGCUCUCCUUGCAUCAGGUAGGGGCUUUGCAGAGACCAUCGACGGGCUGACUUGACCAAGCUUCUUGAAAGGCCUGUCUACACUUGCUGUCUUCCUUCCUCACCUCCAAUUUCCUCUUCAACCCACUGCUUCCUGACUCGCUCUACUCCGUGGAAGCACGCUCACAAAGGCACGUGGGCCGUGGCCCGGCUGGGUCGGCUGAAGAACUGCGGAUGGAAGCUGCGGAAGAGGCCCUGAUGGGGCCCACCAUCCCGGACCCAAGUCUUCUUCCUGGCGGGCCUCUCGUCUCCUUCCUGGUUUGGGCGGAAGCCAUCACCUGGAUGCCUACGUGGGAAGGGACCUCGAAUGUGGGACCCCAGCCCCUCUCCAGCUCGAAAUCCCUCCACAGCCACGGGGACACCCUGCACCUAUUCCCACGGGACAGGCUGGACCCAGAGACUCUGGACCCGGGGCCUCCCCUUGAGUAGAGACCCGCCCUCUGACUGAUGGACGCCGCUGACCUGGGGUCAGACCCGUGGGCUGGACCCCUGCCCACCCCGCAGGAACCCUGAGGCCUAGGGGAGCUGUUGAGCCUUCAGUGUCUGCAUGUGGGAAGUGGGCUCCUUCACCUACCUCACAGGGCUGUUGUGAGGGGCGCUGUGAUGCGGUUCCAAAGCACAGGGCUUGGCGCACCCCACUGUGCUCUCAAUAAAUGUGUUUCCUGUCUUAACAAAAAAAAAAAAAAAAAAAAAAAAA
rnacentral:lncRNA from 1 species